rnacentral:lncRNA from 1 species
CAAUCUGGGUGAACCACAUACAUCUUGUGCUUGCUUCCCUAUCUCUAUCCAUUUACAUACUUAUCCACACUAGUGUCCGGAGCAAUCUAGCGAAUGUCACAAACUUAACACUUUCUGUUGUACCAAAGUCCUCACUGAUUUUGUGCAUCAACAUAUAUAAAGUGAGAAUGACAAAAUGGUGAAACAUUCCGAAAUGCCAAGAAUGUCCUCACUUCACACACACAGCUAACGUAUAACUGCUCAUAGAAAUAAGGUCAAAAUGAUAAUAUUAUAGCAUUCAUAAAUUAUCUACAAAAAGCGGAAUGCUCCGCAUAUAUGCCUAUCUUAACCAUGAACAUUCUGGACCACCGGAUGAAAACACCCA